rnacentral:rRNA from 1 species
AUUGAACGCUGGCGGCAGGCCUAACACAUGCAAGUCGAACGGUAACAGGAGGAAGCUUGCUUCUUUGCUGACGAGUGGCGGGCGGGUGAGUCAUGUCUGGGAAACUGCCUGAUGGAGGGGGAUAACUACUGGAAACGGUAGCUAAUACCGCAUAACGUCGCAAGACCAAAGAGGGGGACCUUCGGGCCUCUUGCCAUCGGAUGUGCCCAGAUGGGAUUAGCUAGUAGGUGGGGUAACGGCUCACCUAGGCGACGAUCCCUAGCUGGUCUGAGAGGAUGACCAGCCACACUGGAACUGAGACACGGUCCAGACUCCUACGGGAGGCAGCAGUGGGGAAUAUUGCACAAUGGGCGCAAGCCUGAUGCAGCCAUGCCGCGUGUAUGAAGAAGGCCUUCGGGUUGUAAAGUACUUUCAGCGGGGAGGAAGGGAGUAAAGUUAAUACCUUUGCUUAUUGACGUUACCCGCAGAAGAAGCACCGGCUAACUCCGUG